CACGCGAGUGACUGAGUCGGCGGAGGGUGAGUAAUGUCUGGGAAACUGCCUGAUGGAGGGGGAUAACUACUGGAAACGGUAGCUAAUACCGCAUAACGUCGCAAGACCAAAGAGGGGGACCUUCGGGCCUCUUGCCAUCAGAUGUGCCCAGAUGGGAUUAGCUAGUAGGUGGGGUAAUGGCUCACCUAGGCGACGAUCCCUAGCUGGUCUGAGAGGAUGACCAGCCACACUGGAACUGAGACACGGUCCAGACUCCUACGGGAGGCAGCAGUGGGGAAUAUUGCACAAUGGGCGCAAGCCUGAUGCAGCCAUGCCGCGUGUGUGAAGAAGGCCUUCGGGUUGUAAAGCACUUUCAGCGAGGAGGAAGGUGGUGAGCUUAAUACGCUCAUCAAUUGACGUUACUCGCAGAAGAAGCACCGGCUAACUCCGUGCCAGCAGCCGCGGUAAUACGGAGGGUGCAAGCGUUAAUCGGAAUUACUGGGCGUAAAGCGCACGCAGGCGGUUUGUUAAGUCAGAUGUGAAAUCCCCGGGCUCAACCUGGGAACUGCAUUUGAAACUGGCAAGCUAGAGUCUCGUAGAGGGGGGUAGAAUUCCAGGUGUAGCGGUGAAAUGCGUAGAGAUCUGGAGGAAUACCGGUGGCGAAGGCGGCCCCCUGGACGAAGACUGACGCUCAGGUGCGAAAGCGUGGGGAGCAAACAGGAUUAGAUACCCGGGUAGUCCACGCUGUAAACGAUGUCGAUUUGGAGGUUGUGCCCUUGAGGCGUGGCUUCCGGAGCUAACGCGUUAAAUCGACCGCCUGGGGGAGUACGGCCGCAAGGUUAAAAACUCAAAUGAAUUGACGGGGGCCCGCAAAAGCGGUGGAGCAGGUGGUUU
rnacentral:rRNA from 1 species